AUUGGUUAAGGCUUUGGGAUUGCGUUCUGUGCAGAUUGAAAGUGGGAGAAUAGAACGCAUAAGCAGGCCGGAGAAUCGCUAUUUGGGAGGAAAAAAAAAAAGAAGAAGUCCAAGAAGAUGCAGAAAUUAAACAACAAUUAAAAGGAGCUAUUUUGAUACAAAACAUAUAUAUAGAUUGGAUCCCCACAGACAUCCAUAAGCCUCCUCACAAAACAGACAACCAAGGAACCAACAGGACGACUGAAAAUUCAAAACAUGAAUUUUGGUACAGAGGUCCAGGUUGUUUUAUUAUAGACUAUAUAUGUAUAAUCCAGUACUAAACACACAAACAGAGAACAAACAUUAAUUCUGUCUUAUUUUUCCAGGAGAUGAAACUGUGAGUGGUAUGUCGGAGGCUAGCUGCAGGAUCCAUUUCGAUCUAUCGAUCAACAGUUACAUGGGUCACAUUUACACGGGCUACAUUUGCAACCUUGCCCUCCCUCUGCUCCGACGCCCUUCUCUGUCUCCUCCGAGUCCC